GUUUUCUCAUUCCAGGAAAUGCUGCAUUUCUUUUUCCAUCAGACUAUUUGCUCACCUUACAAAACCUGGGCCUGAUCUAACUGCUGUUGUCUUUCAUAAUCCAGAUAAUAUUUUUUUUUCACUGAUGGCUCGUCCAUCCAGAAUGACCAGGACAGCAAGCUGAAGUUAAAGCAGCGAAGAUGACCAGCAGAUCAGCUGAUGACCGGUCCAUACCAUAUACACUGACGUGAGAUAAGCUUUUGGUGAUGAUUAUGGGACCCCGUGGAAAUCUUCCAAUGCAAUAAGGAGCUAUGACAUUGGAAACGGAGAACUUCCAGUAGGGAAAGUAGCCUUGGAGAAAUGAAGACACUGGCCCAGGAUUGUGAACCAUC